AUGCAGCCAGCAUACAGCUAUGCAGCAUCUGCUGAUUCCAUGAGGAGUGCUAAAACUGAACCAGUCCUAUGUUUUACAACAAGGCAAGGCCAUUCAAGCCUCUCAUUUUCUGGCCUUACUGGAGAGAGUAGUGUUGGAGAUUAUCAAGAUUGUGGGGCAUCCUCAAUGCUUCUCAUGGGAGAACCUCCAUGGUGUCCUCCAUGCCCUGAGAGUUCCUGCCCAUCAGCUAACCGAAGUAAUGCUGUAAUGCGUUACAAGGAAAAAAAGAAGACACGCAAGUUUGAGAAGAGGGUGAGGUAUGCCUCGCGCAAAGCAAGGGCUGAUGUAAGAAGACGUGUGAAGGGGCGAUUCGUCAAGGCUGGUGACACUUAUGAUUAUGACCCACUGAGCGAAACCAGAAGCUACUGAGACUCUUGAGAGUACAAUUUUUAUACUUGCUUUUAGGAAGAAAAACGGAAAAAGAAAAAAAAUGAAAAAGGAAAGAAACUGAGGUUUAUUUUGAGAUAAUCAAUUACUACUACCUAAACACUGGCAGACGAUGAUGAAUGUUUUUCCUUGUGCAAUGACAAGCUGUAUGAUUGUAUCACGGGGGUCCAAGUCUUCAUUAAUGAGAAGAAAUGUUGCAUAUAAAAGAGUUGGUUUCUGGUGCUUCACUAAUAAAGUUCGGAUGCACAAGUUUCCAUCAACACAAUGGACACCUGUUUUUGACAUCAUCCAUCCAACAAGGGCGAUAGAUUGCCUUGCUGUUAAACUAUGAAUUUGAUUUCCUUUCUACCUUUCUGAACAACUUGUUCCGGUCAGUUAUUCUCUAGGGAAAGGAAAAUAUUUAAUUGUGCAGUCAUAGAAAUGCUUAGUGCUCAUAAUGUUGACUAUUUAUCUCCUAGCUUCUUGCUCUGGUCACUUAUAUAAAAGCAGCUCCCACAGCAUGGUGGGUGACUGAACUCAGUUUGCAUGAUCAACCAAAGAUCUUGCAGUUGUAAUUUUUUCUUUUCCUUUCUUUUUGUUUUCCACUGGACAUGUAUAGUACAGAAUCUAUAAUUGUAGUUGAGGGUAUAUCCAGUUCCAAACGCUUGGUAAGGUUAGACAGAAGAGUUGUAAUUUUUGUUCUCGUUCUUUUUUGUGAACAC
rnacentral:misc_RNA from 1 species